rnacentral:rRNA from 1 species
GCAAGUCGAGGGGUAACGGGGAAGCUUGCUUCCGCCGACGACCGGCGCACGGGUGCGCACCGCGUAUGGAACCUACCUUUUACAGGGGAAUAGCCUUUGGAAACGAAGAUUAAUGCCCCAUAGUAUCAUUAUAUAGCAUUGUAUUUUGAUUAAAGGCUUCGGCCGGUAGAAGAUGGCCAUGCGUCCCAUUAGCUGGUUGGUAAGGUAACGGCUUACCAAGGCUACGAUGGGUAGGGGCCCUGAGAGGGGGAUC